GCCAUUCAUUUUAAUAACACCCUGAGCAGUUUGAUUUCCACGGAACACGCUGGUGAUUAGAGAGCAGCAGGAGCUUGGGUUCCCUAGCAACAGCAUGUGCUUUUGAGACAGUCAUUAGCCUUUCAGUUAAUCCCAUCAACCCCUUACCUCUAAAUGUAUGACUGACAUAAAAAAAAUGAUGUUUUAGAAAGUGCUUUGAAAUUUCCAGGAGUGCAAUGGAAGGGAAUAAUCAUAAUUAAAAAGUUGUCUGGAGAACUACACUCCAGUGAAGGAAGUAAUGUUCCUACGUGCCAAGCCUGUCCGUAUAUUUCCCUGCUCUCAGUUGUAGGUUUCUGAAUCCCCUGUGGCAAAGGGCAAGGGAGGUGAAAUUGUUCAGAGUUUCAGGCAGUCUUCUCACCUAAAGUGAGUAGUAUUGCAAUGUCUCUUGGAAUCAUGGCUCUGAAGAUGAGGAGAGAAGCGGGAUGGGCAGUUUGUGUGGUGAGGAGGCUGGCUGCAGGUAGGCUGGGAGGGAAUGUCACACAUAGUUUUCUUUCUCCUUUAAGCCGAAUGAGGUAUGCUGGUCAAAGGAACUUGGGGAAGGAGGAUGGUGAGGGGAAUGAAGUUCUUCUUCCUAUUGAUUGUUUUGUUGCACCAGAGGCUGUUUGUCCAAGGCCACUGGCCAAGAGCAUUAUUUUCGUGGCUAAAGUGAGGUUGGGCAGGUUUCCCAUCCCUUUCACUAGUUUUGAACAAGACAACCCAGAAAGCGCAGCAAGGCUCUGGGAAUAUGAUGUGGGUUGGCUUUUCCUACUCAGCUGCACCUUAAAGCGCCAGGCCGAUGGGCUGAUACUUCUCAAACCCUGAAUCAUUGCCUCCAGCUCUGUCCUGGGUUCAGGAUGCACCACUCCACCCUCUGUGUAGCUUGGGGUCAACUUCGGGGCGUCACUCCAAUAGUAAUUAUUGCUGCGUUUGGCUGGACAUCCUUAUUACGGCCUGGGUCCCUCUCAGCUGGAAACUGGGCUCCUUCAGUUUGGCUGGGGUGACUUCUAGCACUUCCCGCCGCCCCACCUUACCCCCCUGCGCGCUCCCUUCCCAAGGCGACCACCUGCACCGCCCCACUUACCAUCUGCCCCGCGGGGAGGGCCCCCCGGGCUAGCGGAGCCCUCCCUGCUCCCGGGCGGCUCUGGAGGAGCUCGGUGUUUGCCUCUAGCCCUUCGCUACCGGAGGAUCAGGUUCCUCCCCUCCUCCCCCUCCAGCUCCGGCCGCCGCCGCCGCCGCCGCCGCCUCCUUCUUGCAUGACACAGCAGAACCGCAGCUGCUGCAGCAAUUUCAAGCCAUCCGCCCAGGAAGCGCCGCAACCGGGACUCGGGAGGGGUGGAGGGGGCGAGGCAGAGGCCGCGGCCCCAGGGGAUCCUUGGCCCCACUGUGCACCACACACUCCUUUCCCAGCCCAGGGGCACGCGAACAAAAUGAGGCUCAAGCUGACCAGGCCGAGCCGGAGGAACGCUGGGGCUUGGCAGCAGAAGGGAUGGGACCAGAGAGAAGGGUGUGGAGGAGACCCCAGUGAGGGCCAGGACAUUUCAGGUAAAGAGAGGUAAGAAGAGGCCCAGAAGUCAAGGGCCAGACUGUGAAGGUGAUUAGAGGUCAAAAGAGGUAAGGAGGUAGAGUUGCAAAGAAGAGAGGCCGAGCUGGGAAGGGCGUGGGGGUGGGGGUAGCUGCAGGGGAGGGUGGGGGGUACAGUCUUUGGGGAGGCCCGAGCUGAGCCCCCAGGCAGAAAAGGGGCUGAGUUGGGAGGCAAGGGAGGUAGGAGGAAAGGGAUGAAAAGAAUUAGGCAUGAGAUAGGAAGGUAAAACUUGGGAGAGAUAUUAUAGAAUUAGAAGGGUUGGAAUGGAGCUCAUUCAUCAUGGCUGAUGAAGUAAACUGAUGAGGUGGAGAGAGACAGAGUCAAGGCAAGGCCAAACGAAAAGAUCUUCCAUCCCACUCUUCAGUUUCUUGCGAAGUUUUUCUUGAUUCCGCCAAUCCACACAGUUUCCUUUAUAAAAUGGAAAAGCAUGAACUAAAAAACCCAGAAAUAGCUAUCUGGCUUAGAUUUACAGGAUAAAAUCUCCAUGUCUGUAAAAACUUUAAGGCAGAAAUUUGGGAUUUAUGGUACAAACCCUUUAAGGGACUGUGAGUCAGUAAUACCCACAGCACUCAACAUUGUGAGUUUCCACACAUCCCUGGACUUGAGUGAGUCUUUCCAAGUGUUUGUUAAUGGUACAAAUGAUGACAAAAUUAGUGGUUCAAAAAUAUUAAAGUGCACAUGCUUUUUGCUUUCUCUAUGUAUACAGAGAUUACAUAUAUGUAUACUUUCUAGCGUCUAGCAAGUAUGGUAUGGCUAGGGAUAAUUAUGUUUUUCUGAUUAUUUUGUUUCCCAUCAAACACCCCACGAAUUUUACAGCAGACCGCCUUCUUGUCACCAUUUGAAAGAAUGUGGUCAGAAAAGUAAUGCAAAAACUGCCACUUUGGUUUUGUCUGUACCUUCCAGGUCAUAUCUCCGUACCUCACUUCCUGACACAAACAAGUUUUCACUGUUGUCAGCAACAAAGCCCUAAUAUAGCUGCGGAAGAGAAAAACUGCAUUGCAUUUUGCCUCCUGCAAGCAUCAUCAACAGUUACUGGAGGAACGUAAUUCCAGAAAGCUUGAAAGCCGUGGUGAUGGUAAUUAUGUAUCAAAUGCCUGGUUCUAUUUCUGUUAUUAUUGUUUUGUCAUUUCUGUUUUCCCAGCGAUCUGACUGAACUCGCAGAGGGACAAAUCCAGUUUUUCUUUUUGACUUUUGUCAAACUAAAUCAGGCCUGAUAGAAAACUCAUUGCUCUCCGGGGAAACAAAGUAGGAGCCACGAAAUGUCAUUUUAACAGAGCGUGGGUUUGGUGACUGUAGGAAAGGAUUUGAGGACGCUCCUUCUGUUCGGCUUCCUAUGUCAUGAGCACAGGCUCCACGCACGCACAGACACCACGGCUCCCGGAUGCUGUGGCUCCCCGAUCGGGGCUCCUGCAGCGCCAGAAGCCCCUCCGGGAUGCUUCGAGGGGCUCCCGGUGGGUGGAGGUACGGACGCCGCUGCGGCCGCCGCCGCCAGUCCUGCUGCUGUUGUUGCUGCUGCAGUCACGUGGGAGCCCCUUUAAGUUUCCAUAGAGAGGCCUCUCUGGUGUCACAUGAUGGACAUGAUAUAAUGAAACAACAUUGUGGAGAGGAAAGCAUUAGGGGAGCCCACGGCUACAAAAACAAGUGAGUGAGAAGAGGUGGGAGGAAGAGAAACUACGCCACCUCCCCUGCAGCCGAGUGCACGCAGCAGCCUGGCGUGACAAGUGGGCGACGCCGGGGGGCAGGGAGCCGGGGUCCUUGGCCCUGGCCGGGGACCCCACCGCCCACCGCGCGGAGGACAACUUUUAGCCGGCAGCCCAGACCAGCGCGGCACCUGUCUCCGGAGUCUCCACCGCUCCUCCCGAUUCAUCCCAGGGAAAUUCUCAAGAAUACGCUCUACAAAUCUACGUGCGCAUCAUUUUCACCUCGCGUCGCGCCCGGGAGGAAGGAACGAGGCAAGGAGCUAAAGCAGCGUGCGUUCAGCCCUGGGGCAUUUUAUUAAUGCUUUUACGAGUUAGAAGAGUUGGGAUAAUUUGCCAUCUGGAGUUUCUCUGCCUUGCUGAUCUGAGCUCAGACCUGCCAAUUUACCAGAGAUAAUUGAUAACACCCUGUAACAGCUGAGAGGAAAAUGGAAGAAACGGAGAUACUUUUAGUGAAGCAGAAUAAACCACUGAACAGGAAAAAUGAGGAAGCUGUGAGUACCAGUGGAAGGAACGAGCCAGGAAGAGGGACUGGAACCAUCUCAGAAGCCAUGCCCCUCAGGCUGGAACUUGCCCUGUCUCCUCGCAGAUGAGACUGAGUGUACUUGGUCUGGUAUUUGUGGCAUAACUUACGGAACACAUAAGAAUGAUACAGAUACUAUUUAAUGAUGACCUAAUACAAGCUUAGAUAGCUAAGGUGAAAGCUUCUAUGGCCUUAACAUUUUCCUCUUGAAGAAUGUAUUUUCUGUAAUAAAAUACAGUGGCUACUUGAAAUCUAUAAACUUAUGUGAGGUCUGGAUAAAUCUGAGCAACUUUCUUCUUUGUGCUCCAGGAACCUACGCACUAUAUAUAUAAAUAAAGCUUAAGUAAACAUCACUGCAAUCUGUGUUUUGUUUGAUUAUAUUACGUAUUGCCUGAUCUUUAAAUAAUGAUGAAAAAUAGCCUUUAACAUAAACCAUGAAUGGAUAUGCACUUGAGGGAAACAGUUUCUUGGAUAAUUAAACUUUAAUUUCUCACCGUGGAUUCCUUGGAUCUUGUAAUAUUUUUUAAAACAGUCCUGGGGAUUUAUUUUUAAGGCGUCCAAAUGAAUUAUUA
rnacentral:lncRNA from 1 species